UUGCACUCUGUUUCAAAAAAAAACGAAGAAGAAUCCUCUGAACGAGGGCCUGGGGUGAGUUCCCGGAGUGCCAUCGUGCCUCCGUCCAGGGGUUUGUACGCGCUCACGUGCCCUCGUCUACACCGCCAUAUACGGCGAUCAGAAACUGGAAAAUUUCCUUUUUCCGACGCGAAUCAGAAUGGUGUUCGCGAGAAUGGUGGCGAGUACUCUGGCUUUGAUUCGUGCGCCAAUCACGGCGCGAUUCGGAACUAGAGUCACGGCGAUGAUGGAGGACCACUAGAACGGCACGAGUCGAAAGGUCGAGACGCUUGGGAUGGUUGCGGCACGAAGUUUCUGGAAACCCUAGGGUUUCCAAAUCCAGUUUAGAUUUUGGGCCUUCCUGGGCUUCGCUACUUUGGGUCUACUUGGGCCGUCCACUUGUGGGUUGGGUAUAACCGAGUUUUGGGUAGUUUUAAGUAUUCAGUUGGGCUAAAAAAAAUGUAAUCGGGUCUUUGGGUUUUACCGAGUUGGGUCAAAGAGUGUAACGGGUUAGUGGGCUUAUAUUGUAAUUUGGGCUCUGUACAUGGACUGUUUAAAUAAAUAAACAUUCCUUUAUUUAUUUGUUUAAGGCCCGGGCAAAUUUAGGUUAUUACAAUGUAUUCUCAAUGUUUCUAGUUGUUCUUGCAUUAUGCUACUUAAUCUUUGAUUUUGUCAGGUCGGUAAACAAUAUGAAUAAAAAAUUCUUCCUCCUCGUACUAA